UACAGAGGUCUCAAGCGUUGUUCGGAUUCAUUGGGCGUAAAGGGUGCGUAGGCGGCGCGGUAAGUCGGGUGUGAAAUCUCGGAGCUUAACUCCGAAACUGCAUUCGAUACUGCCGUGCUUGAGGACUGGAGAGGAGACUGGAGUUUACGGUGUAGCGGUGAAAUGCGUAGAUAUCGUAAGGAAGACCAGUGGCGAAGGCGGGUCUCUGGGCCGAAACUGACGCUGAGGAGCGAAAGCGUGGGUAGCAAACAGG
rnacentral:rRNA from 1 species